rnacentral:tRNA from 1 species
GCCUGGGUAGCUCAGUUGGUUGAGCACCCAGCUUCGGCUUAGGUCAUGGGCUCACGGUUCACGGGUUCAAGCCCCGUGUCUGGCU